GGUAGCGUGGCCGAGCGCUCUAAGCCGCUGGUUUAAGGCACCAGUCUCUCCGGAGGCGUGGGUUCGAAUCCCACCGCUGCCA
rnacentral:tRNA from 1 species